UACGGAGGGUGCAAGCGUUGUCCGGAUUUAUUGGGUUAAAGGGUGCGUAGGCGGUUCUCUAAGUCAGUGGUGAAAUACUGCAGCUCAACUGUAGCAUUGCCAUUGAUACUGAAGAACUUGAGUACAGAUGAGGUAGGCGGAAUUUAUGGUGUAGCGGUGAAAUGCAUAGAUACCAUAAAGAACACCGAUUGCGAAGGCAGCUUACUAAGCUGUAACUGACGCUGAGGCACGGAAAAGCGUGGGGAGCGAACAGG
rnacentral:rRNA from 1 species